ACAGUGAGCCACCUGCCUCUGCUCCCCUGUUUCUGAUUUAAAGGGAGGCAGGAAGCAACUAAAUUCACAAGCAAGCAUGAUAAUCGUUCUCAAACCUGUGGCUUCUCCCCUCCCAGUUAUCUGUGGGCUUUUGUUUGGGAACACUGUACUGUAUUAUUUACAGAAGAAAUAAUAAAUGAGAAUCCGAGAGGGCAAGGAAGGUCAAAAGAUGCUAGAUGGUAAUUAGGCUAAUUAGAUAGUUGAAGGGGCCCCUGUGGGUGGUUAUCCGCUGGGUUGCUAGCCGCAUCCAGGCAGUAGGGUGCAUCUUAUUUUUGUUAAUAUUACACAUGACUCACAUGCUUCUGUCUCCCACGGCUCCCGAGUUUCCUUGUUUCACUCAGAAAUUCCUCCUCCUCGUGAGGCUCAAAAGGACAUAGGCCCUCUUCUGACUUUUUCCUGUGACAACUAGUUGCCUCCUAUGGGUGACAGAUAGUUUGGGGUUUUCCUGUGGUCUUCAAACCCACAUUUCCCUAGCUUCUCAGUGUCCCUGGGGCUGUGUCAGGACGAUCUGCUAUUCUGGAACUUUUGUUUGUUUGAGACAGGAUUUCUCUGUGUAGCCCUGGCUGUCCUGGAACUCACUUUGUAGACCAGGCUAGCCUCGAACUCAGAAAUCCACCUGCCUCUGCCUCCCAAAUGCUGGGAUUAAUGGCGUGCGCCACCACGCCCGGCUAUAAGUUCCUUUUUAAGGUUUAAUUUUAUUAUUUUAAUUUAUGUGUGCAUCUGAGCAUAAGUGUGUGCAUGUGAGUACGGGGACCCAGGAGCUGGAGUUUCUGGCGGUUGGGAGCCACCUGCCAUGGGUGCUUGGAAUUGAACUUGGGUUCUGUCUUAGUUAGGGUUUUACUGCUGUGAACAGGCACCACGACCAAUGCAAGUCUUAUAAAAGACAUUUAAUUGGGGCUGGCUUACAGGUUUGGAGGUUCAGUCGAUAAUCAUCAAGGCAGGGACAUGGCAGCAUCCAGGCAGGCAUGGUGCAGGAGGAGCUGAGAGUUCUACAUCUUCAUCUGAAGGCUGCUAGUGGAAGACUGGCUUCCAGGCAUCUAGGGUGAGGGUCUUAAGCCCACACCUACAAUGACACACCUACUCCAACAAGGCUACACCUCUUAAUAGGGCCACUCCCUGGGCCAAGCAUAGACAAACCAUCACAGGUCCUCUGAAAGAGUAGCAGUGUAUACUCUUAACUGCUGGGCCAUCUCCCCUGCCCUGUAAAUAAAUAUAUUAAAAACAAGCUCAGGGAAACAGCAGAGUGUUUGCCUGUCAUGUACAAGUCCCUAGGUUCAAUCUCCAGUAGAGGGUGCUGGACACUCAGAAACUGCUGCCUAUUUUUGGUGGCCCUAGUGUAUGUGGUCAGCCCCAGGACCUCAGCCAUCUACAGCCACAGCAUUGCUGCUCUCUCAGCAUUUCUGAAGAUCAAAUUUGGCAAUGUCUGGAAAGACAACUAGAAAAAAAAGAUAAGAAGGGGGACAUUCUGGGUCCCUCUAACACACACACACACACACACACACACACACACACACACACAAUCUUGGGAGCUCUCAGUACACUGUAAACAAACCUGCAGAGCAGAGGAGCAGAAAGUCACCACAGAAGCCCCAAGGCAUUCAGAACAACCCAAGGAGUAGCCUGGGAGUGUAGAUUGACCCCAGCGGGUCUAAUUGCAAUCUGUGAUCAUUGCUAAGGCACCAGAGGCCUGUGUAGACUGAUCUGCUGGGUGGAGAAGGGUAAAUUAGAGAUAACUAGGUGUUUUUCAGUGGAAAGAAAACCUGGUCCCUCAGUUAGCAAUUACCAGCUGAGCCUUCCAGAACCAGUUAUAAAACAUGGUCACGAGGAAGAUGAGCGCCGCGCCUGCUCAGGUUGCCUGAAUUUAUGUCCCAUAUGUGAAGUUCCUGAAGUGGCCAGAAGAUGGCGAGUGAUUCCCCGGAAACUGAAGCUGCAGAUGGCUGUGAGCUGCCUGAUGGGUGCUGGAAAUCAAACAGCUGUAUUCCUAGCUGUGUUCCUAGCUGAUGACAUCCCUCCUGGCUCAAGAAGAUGGUUUCUAAAAUCCCUGAUGGGGUAUGGACACAAAAUCACAGGUGCCUACGGAUGCUGGAAGAUGAUGGUGGAUCCCCUGGAGCUGAGUUUUUUAUACACAGUAGUGAUGGGAACCAAACUGACAGUAACUGCUGAGUCACCUAUCCAGCUCCCACUUUCAUACAAGUGGUCAUCUACAAACCCUCUCAAAUGAGUUUUGGAAAAUCCUACUCAAUAUGUGACACCCCCCCCCCCCCCACAAUAGACAGCCGUGGAGCCAUUAAAGGGUCUGAGGAGUCCCAGGA